UGACCGACGCAAGUCUUUUGGAGCCACGAUCAUUAUUCAUCGGAGAGUCCUACUCCUGUCUUCUUGGUGCGGGGCGUGAGGCACAGCUCCGAGAACGCCCCAGCUGGCUGCUGCAGAUGCUCCUAGCUGGGACUCCGUGCUGCAGCGCUGUGGACAGAUGGAAAGCUACCUCGCUGCUACGCCGCCCUGCAGGUGAUUGCUGUUAUGACUUGACAUUGUAAAUCACUGGGAUGGAAGUACUGCAGAAACAGUUAGGCAGAAAGAAACCUUAGCAGGGCCCCCUCAAGGUCAACUCCCCUCACUCGUCAAUGCGUCACCGAUCGAAGACGCGCUCCGAGGAACCAGCUUGCCGUUGCCUAGCAACUGUGUCAGACAGAGGCUGCUGGUACAGGAACAUACAGACCCCCCCAAUACCGGCUUCAAGGCAGUCAGGAGACGAGAGCUAUGAACGUGGCUUAAGACAGGGAGAGAGACUGAAUAUUUCAUUGUUCACAGACCAAUUAAAGAUGUCUGCGGUGUCUACAUAACUAAUGGGAAAGUGGAAAAGCAACAGUGUGUAGAACACUUGUGUGUGUGUGUGUGGGGGGGUGGCUGUGUGCUCUUGCAGGUAUGAACAGCCUUCAGCUGAUCUCAUAAUCACAAGAAAUCUCUGUGGGAAGGCGGUGAGUUUUUAUAAGGGUGAACGGAAAAUAUUGCAAGCACACAAGCAAGCUUUUAUCAGGCUCUGUGCUGUGAGCUUUUAUCAGGCACGGUGCUAUGAGACACCACCUGUGUCAUACCUACAUUUUACGAUCUAUACAGUGCCGUUUAUGGCAUCUAUUUGAAACGCACCCUGCCUUCGUUUCCAUAUGUAUAAAAAUGUUAUAUUCACAACAUUCAUCUGUUGUGGAAAGUGUAAUUUUUCCAAGUUUAAUUGACUUCUUCCGUGAGUAAUAUUUCACACGCUGCAUGCCACUGGGACAGUUCAAAUGCAAAGCCUACAUUUUCAUAAACAGCAACUUUCUAAUCUCGACUCUACUGAACUGAGAGAGAGAGAGAGAGAGAGAGAGAGAGAGAGAGAGAGAGAGGGAAAG